rnacentral:lncRNA from 1 species
AUCACCCUACCAUAUACACCCAACCACUAAAGAUCCAACCUCAGAACCAAUUCAUGUCACACACCCAAACUCAAAACCAUGAACCAAACCUUAAUCACCAACAACCAUACGCAACCACCACAUUUGUCUAUAGCCCGGAUGAUUCAUACGAUUCAACUUCAUGCCAUCAUAGCCCCCCACUUAUGAACACCCAUACAUCCCAUCGCCACAA